GGAGAAGCAAAAUGAUGAGCCACACUGGCUGGAUCCCCAAAGAGGCACGUGUGUGUGUGUGUGUGUCCGUCCGUCCGUCCGCGUCCAUCCUUGUCUGUGUGCUCCCUGUGUGUCUGGCUAUGCGUGUGUGUCUGGUUAUAGGGAACUAGCUGUGUGCCUUCUGUUGGGCCAUGACAGUCAAACUGAUAAGAUCUGAUUGCUUC